rnacentral:rRNA from 1 species
CCUACGGGAGGCAGCAGGGGGAAUUUUGGACAAUGGGCGCAAGCCUGACCCAGCCAUGCCGCGUGAGUGAAGAAGGCCUUCGGGUUGUAAAGCUCUUUCAGACGGAAAGAAAUCGCACGAUUUAAUACAUCGUGUGGAUGACGGUACCGUAAGAAGAAGCACCGGCUAACUACGUGCCAGCAGCCGCGGUAAUACGUAGGGUGCGAGCGUUAAUCGGAAUUACUGGGCGUAAAGCGUGCGCAGGCGGUUUCGUAAGACAGAUGUGAAAUCCCCGGGCUUAACCUGGGAACUGCAUUUGUGACUGCGAGACUAGAGUGUAGCAGAGGGGGGUAGAAUUCCACGUGUAGCAGUGAAAUGCGUAGAGAUGUGGAGGAAUACCGAUGGCGAAGGCAGCCCCCUGGGCUAACACUGACGCUCAUGCACGAAAGCGUGGGGAGCAAACAGGAUUAGAUACCCUGGUAGUCCACGCCCUAAACGAUGUCAACUAGGUGUUGGGGAAGGAGACUUCUUUAGUACCGCAGCUAACGCGUGAAGUUGACCGCCUGGGGAGUACGGUCGCAAGAUUAAAACUUAAAGGAAUUGACGGA